rnacentral:rRNA from 1 species
CAGCCGUAAACUAUGCGCGUUAGGUGUAUCGGUGACCACGAGUUACCGAGGUGCCGAAGGGAAACCGUGAAACGUGCCGCCUGGGAAGUACGGUCGCAAGGCUGAAACUUAAAGGAAUUGGCGGGGGGGCACCACAACAGGUGGAGCCUGCGGUUUAAUUGGACUCAACGCCGGGAAGCUCACCGGAUAGGACAGCAGAAUGAUUGCCGGGCUGAAGACCCUGCAUGACUAGCUGAGAGGAGGUGCAUGGCGU